rnacentral:rRNA from 1 species
UACGGAGGGAGCUAGCGUUGUUCGGAAUUACUGGGCGUAAAGCGCACGUAGGCGGCUUUUAAGUCAGGGGUGAAAUUCCCGGGGCUCAACCCCGGAACUGCCCUUGAAACUGGAGAGCUAGAAUCUUGAGAGGCGAGUGGAAUUCCGAGUGUAGAGGUGAAAUUCGUAGAUAUUCGGAAGAACACCAGUGGCGAAGGCGACUCGCUGGACAAGUAUUGACGCUGAGGCGCGAAAGCGUGGG